CCUGCAGAUCUUCCACACCAAGCCAUCGGCUGGAGGAUGAAUGUGUGAGGAAAAAGCCCAAACUUCCCUUUCACCAGUUUUCUCCCGUCUCACAGAGGUAUCACUAUGUUCCUCCAGGUGCCUGGUCUUGAACAGCCAUGACGAUGGAAGUGCUCCCCAAGGCCCUGGAGGUAGAUGAGAGGUCUCCAGAGUCUAAGGACCUGCUGCCCAGUCAGACAGCCAGCUCCCUGUGUAUCAGCUCCAGAAGUGAGUCUGUCUGGACCACCACCCCCAGAAGCAACUGGGAAAUCUACCACAAGCCUAUCAUCAUCAUGUCAGUGGGUGCUGCCAUUCUGCUCUUUGGUGUGGCCAUCACCUGUGUGGCCUACAUCUUGGAAGAGAAGCAUAAGGUUGUUCCAGUCCUCAAGAUGAUAGGGCCUGCCUUCCUGUCCUUGGGACUCAUGAUGCUGGUGUGUGGGCUGGUGUGGGUACCCAUCAUCAAAAAGAAACAGAAGCAAAGGCAGAAGUCCAACUUCUUCCAGAGCCUCAAGUUCUUCCUCCUGAACCGCUGAUGGCAAUCUGACCAGAAGAUCUGCUGACCAGCAUCUGGCCUCCUAACCUUCUCUGUCAGAUACCACCAAGCUGAUCCAGGCAAACCCUCUUCUUGGCCUGAGGGCAGGACAGAGCUCAGGGCUUCACCCUCUCACAACCUAACAGUGUUGCUGGCUGAGUCUCACCUGGUUUCUCCAUCCCUGUUGAUGCUCCCUCAGAUAUUCUCAAUAUUCUCAUCCCUGGCAGCUGCAUUUAGCCAUCAUCCAUCUCACUCUCCCUGCCAAGGGCAGUGCAUGCUGAGAAAUUCUUGGGGGAUUGACUAUGCUCCCAAAAAGAACUUCGUGUUAUACUUGUGUGUCUCUGCUGGAUUCCACAUCUGCAACUUUCUGGAACGAAAACCGAUCAAGGAAGGAAGGGUGACUUCAGACCUACUGGGUUUAACAGUCUUGGCUCCCUUCUUGGGUCUGUCUAACACAGAAGAAUCAAAUCAAGAUGCACUCUCUUUGCAGUACCUCCUUUGUAGCAUCCAAGAGAGACCCAGAUGCUACAAUGAUGAAGCUUUGACAUCACCCACAAGAAUAACCACAAAUGACUGUGACUACCACGUCUCUAUCUAUAACCCAACUACCCUGCACCAAACCACUAAGACUGCUGCCACCAUUCCAGGAGUUCGUGAGGGAUUGAGAUGCCAUGAAGUUCCACCAGUGGGGCUGUUAUAGGAACCACUCUGCUACAGGGUUCGAUCCCAAGGAAGCCUCUGACCAAAGUGUUUUCUAAGAACUGCCCAUUGGAAUCAAAUACAGACACCCAUCUGGGGUUUCCCAUGAAUACGCAUCAUACAGUACUGCUGCCAUGCCCCUCUGACACUCACUGGACUCUGAGCCCCUGGCUCCUCUUCAUCCCACCACUCAGGAUACACAGAAGCAGAUUCCAACAUGGAUACUGAAACAUGAAUGCACAGCUAAAGUGCAUGCAAGGGAACUCUCCAUACUGACAAAUAUGCUGGCACUGUUCACAUAGGCCCACCUAGGUGCGGAGCCAGCCAUGGGGCUGCUCACAUUGAGCUUCAGGUUGACUGAAACCUUCAGGCAUUUUUUAUUUGACAAGCACUCUAGGCCUCUGCUCUGCUGUCUGUGUGAUGUUCAAGACUUCAAGAAGACUGUAUUUCUAGCCUAAAAUACCUGUAGUCCAGUACAGCCUUACUCCAGUAUCUACUGAAGACCUCCAUCCCUGGGCUGAUUGGAAAGAUGUGCUGUUUUGUAACCCAGACUGACCUACUCCACUAAUUUAUAUUUCCUAUGGUCUGGUUUUGCACUUUGUAUUUAUACUAUGCCCUAAAUGAACAUGUUUCCUUUAAGCUGCCCCAUAUCUUUUAUGGUAUGGGGUGGUUGCCUAAAUAAAGAAAUGGAUAUGUUUUUAUGUGGCA
rnacentral:lncRNA from 1 species